rnacentral:rRNA from 1 species
UGGGGAAUUUUGGACAAUGGGGGAAACCCUGAUCCAGCCAUCCCGCGUGUGCGAUGAAGGCCUUCGGGUUGUAAAGCACUUUUGGCAGGAAAGAAACGUCGCGGGUUAAUACCCCGCGAAACUGACGGUACCUGCAGAAUAAGCACCGGCUAACUACGUGCCAGCAGCCGCGGUAAUACGUAGGGUGCAAGCGUUAAUCGGAAUUACUGGGCGUAAAGCGUGCGCAGGCGGUUCGGAAAGAAAGAUGUGAAAUCCCAGAGCUUAACUUUGGAACUGCAUUUUUAACUACCGGGCUAGAGUGUGUCAGAGGGAGGUGGAAUUCCGCGUGUAGCAGUGAAAUGCGUAGAUAUGCGGAGGAAUACCGAUGGCGAAGGCAGCCCCCUGGGCCAAUACUGACGCUCAUGCACGAAAGCGUGGGGAGGCAAACAGGUUAGAUACCCUGGUAGUCCACGCCCUGAAACGAUGUCAACUAGCUG